rnacentral:rRNA from 1 species
GUGGGGAAUCUUGCGCAAUGGGCGAAAGCCUGACGCAGCCAUGCCGCGUGAAUGAUGAAGGUCUUAGGAUUGUAAAAUUCUUUCACCGGGGACGAUAAUGACGGUACCCGGAGAAGAAGCUCCGGCUAACUUCGUGCCAGCAGCCGCGGUAAUACGAAGGGGGCUAGCGUUGCUCGGAAUUACUGAGCGUAAAGGGCGCGUAGGCGGACAGCUUAGUCAGAGGUGAAAGCCCAGGGCUCAACCUUGGAAUUGCCUUUGAUACUGGCUGUCUUGAGUUUGGGAGAGGUGAGUGGAACUCCGAGUGUAGAGGUGAAAUUCGUAGAUAUUCGGAAGAACACCAGUGGCGAAGGCGACUCACUGGCCCAAUACUGACGCUGAGGCGCGAAAGCGUGGGGAGCAAACAGGAUUAGAUACCCUUGUAGUCC